AUAAUGGGUCAGCGACUUAUAUUCUGUAGCAAGGUUAACCGAAUAGGGGAGCCGAAGGGAAACCGAGUCUUAACUGGGCGUUAAGUUGCAGGGUAUAGACCCGAAACCCGGUGAUCUAGCCAUGGGCAGGUUGAAGGUUGGGUAACACUAACUGGAGGACCGAACCGACUAAUGUUGAAAAAUUAGCGGAUGACUUGUGGCUGGGGGUGAAAGGCCAAUCAAACCGGGAGAUAGCUGGUUCUCCCCGAAAGCUAUUUAGGUAGCGCCUCGUGAAUUCAUCUCCGGGGGUAGAGCACUGUUUCGGCAAGGGGGUCAUCCCGACUUACCAACCCGAUGCAAACUGCGAAUACCGGAGAAUGUUAUCACGGGAGACACACGGCGGGUGCUAACGUCCGUCGUGAAGAGGGAAACAACCCAGACCGCCAGCUAAGGUCCCAAAGUCAUGGUUAAGUGGGAAACGAUGUGGGAAGGCCCAGACAGCCAGGAUGUUGGCUUAGAAGCAGCCAUCAUUUAAAGAAAGCGUAAUAGCUCACUGGUCGAGUCGGCCUGCGCGGAAGAUGUAACGGGGCUAAACCAUGCACCGAAGCUGCGGCAGCGACGCUGAUGCGUUGUUGGGUAGGGGAGCGUUCUGUAAGCCUGCGAAGGUGUGCUGUGAGGCAUGCUGGAGGUAUCAGAAGUGCGAAUGCUGACAUAAGUAACGAUAAAGCGGGUGAAAAGCCCGCUCGCCGGAAGACCAAGGGUUCCUGUCCAACGUUAAUCGGGGCAGGGUGAGUCGACCCCUAAGGCGAGGCCGAAAGGCGUAGUCGAUGGGAAACAGGUUAAUAUUCCUGUACUUGGUGUUACUGCGAAGGGGGGACGGAGAAGGCUAUGUUGGCCGGGCGACGGUUGUCCCGGUUUAAGCGUGUAGGCUGGUUUUCCAGGCAAAUCCGGAAAAUCAAGGCUGAGGCGUGAUGACGAGGCACUGCGGUGCUGAAGCAACAAAUGCCCUGCUUCCAGGAAAAGCCUCUAAGCAUCAGGUAACAUCAAAUCGUACCCCAAACCGACACAGGUGGUCAGGUAGAGAAUACCAAGGCGCUUGAGAGAACUCGGGUGAAGGAACUAGGCAAAAUGGUGCCGUAACUUCGGGAGAAGGCACGCUGAUAUGUAGGUGAAGUCCCUCGCGGAUGGAGCUGAAAUCAGUCGAAGAUACCAGCUGGCUGCAACUGUUUAUUAAAAACACAGCACUGUGCAAACACGAAAGUGGACGUAUACGGUGUGACGCCUGCCCGGUGCCGGAAGGUUAAUUGAUGGGGUUAGCGCAAGCGAAGCUCUUGAUCGAAGCCCCGGUAAACGGCGGCCGUAACUAUAACGGUCCUAAGGUAGCGAAAUUCCUUGUCGGGUAAGUUCCGACCUGCACGAAUGGCGUAAUGAUGGCCAGGCUGUCUCCACCCGAGACUCAGUGAAAUUGAACUCGCUGUGAAGAUGCAGUGUACCCGCGGCAAGACGGAAAGACCCCGUGAACCUUUACUAUAGCUUGACACUGAACAUUGAGCCUUGAUGUGUAGGAUAGGUGGGAGGCUUUGAAGUGUGGACGCCAGUCUGCAUGGAGCCGACCUUGAAAUACCACCCUUUAAUGUUUGAUGUUCUAACGUUGACCCGUAAUCCGGGUUGCGGACAGUGUCUGGUGGGUAGUUUGACUGGGGCGGUCUCCUCCUAAAGAGUAACGGAGGAGCACGAAGGUUGGCUAAUCCUGGUCGGACAUCAGGAGGUUAGUGCAAUGGCAUAAGCCAGCUUGACUGCGAGCGUGACGGCGCGAGCAGGUGCGAAAGCAGGUCAUAGUGAUCCGGUGGUUCUGAAUGGAAGGGCCAUCGCUCAACGGAUAAAAGGUACUCCGGGGAUAACAGGCUGAUACCGCCCAAGAGUUCAUAUCGACGGCGGUGUUUGGCACCUCGAUGUCGGCUCAUCACAUCCUGGGGCUGAAGUAGGUCCCAAGGGUAUGGCUGUUCGCCAUUUAAAGUGGUACGCGAGCUGGGUUUAGAACGUCGUGAGACAGUUCGGUCCCUAUCUGCCGUGGGCGCUGGAGAACUGAGGGGGGCUGCUCCUAGUACGAGAGGACCGGAGUGGACGCAUCACUGGUGUUCGGGUUGUCAUGCCAAUGGCACUGCCCGGUAGCUAAAUGCGGAAGAGAUAAGUGCUGAAAGCAUCUAAGCACGAAACUUGCCCCGAGAUGAGUUCUCCCUGACUCCUUGAGAGUCCUGAAGGAACGUUGAAGACGACGACGUUGAUAGGCCGGGUGUGUAAGCGCAGCGAUGCGUUGAGCUAACCGGUACUAAUGAACCGUGAGGCUUAACCUU
rnacentral:rRNA from 1 species